GACGGGGGAUGCAAGCGGUAUCCGGAAUCACUGGGCGUAAAGCGUCUGUAGGUGGUGAUGCAAGUCACUGGUGCAAAACUCUGGCUCAACCGGAGGAAAGCCAGUGAAACUGCAUGACUAGAGUGUGGGAGAGGUAGAAGGAAUUCCCUGAGUAGCGGUGAAAUGCGUAGAUACAGGGAAGAACACCGGAGGCGAAAGCGUUCUACUGGAACACAACUGACCCUGAGACACUAAAGCUAGGGGAGCGAAUGGG
rnacentral:rRNA from 1 species